AACGAACGCUGGCGGCAUGCCUAACACAUGCAAGUCGAACGAGGGCUUCGGGCCUAGUGGCGCACGGGUGAGUAACACGUGGGAACCUGCCUUGUGGUUCGGAAUAACACCGGGAAACUGGUGCUAAUACCGGAUAAGCCCUUCGGGGGAAAGAUUUAUCGCCAUGAGAGGGGCCCGCGUCCGAUUAGGUAGUUGGUGGGGUAACGGCCCACCAAGCCUUCGAUCGGUAGCUGGUCUGAGAGGAUGACCAGCCACACUGGGACUGAGACACGGCCCAGACUCCUACGGGAGGCAGCAGUGGGGAAUAUUGGACAAUGGGCGCAAGCCUGAUCCAGCAAUGCCGCGUGAGUGAUGAAGGCCUUAGGGUUGUAAAGCUCUUUCGGCGGGGACGAUGAUGACGGUACCCGCAGAAGAAGCCCCGGCUAACUUCGUGCCAGCCGCCGCAGUAACAC
rnacentral:rRNA from 1 species